rnacentral:tRNA from 2 species
AGGGUGGUGGCUCAGUGGGUAAGAGCGCUUGCUUUACAAGCAUGGGGGCUUGAGUUUGAAUCUCUGGCACCUAU